rnacentral:rRNA from 1 species
UACGGAGGGAGCAAGCGUUGCUCGGAAUUACUGGGCGUAAAGGGCUCGUAGGCGGCCAACUAAGUCAGACGUGAAAUCCCUCGGCUUAACCGGGGAACUGCGUCUGAUACUGGAUGGCUUGAGAUUGGGAGAGGGAUGCGGAAUUCCAGGUGUAGCGGUGAAAUGCGUAGAUAUCUGGAGGAACACCGGUGGCGAAGGCGGCAGCCUGGACCAACACUGACGCUGAGGAGCGAAAGCCAGGGGAGCAAACGGG